GGAAGUAAAAGUCGUAACAAGGUUUCCGUAGGUGAACCUGCGGAAGGAUCAUUAACGAGCAAGCCCCCGCGAUGUAUUUCCGGGGGCUACAGCCUCCAACCGUGUCUACCUUUACCUGUUGCCUCGGCGGACCGCACCCCGGUGCGGCCGGCCUAACCCGCCGGCCAGCGUCCGCCAGAGGAAACCAAAACCUCAACCUUCAUGUGGAACGUCUGAGUAACUAUUGAAAAUAGUUUAAAACUUUCAACAACGGAUCUCUUGGUUCCAGCAUCGAUGAAGAACGCAGCGAAAUGCGAUAACUAAUGUGAAUUGCAGAAUUCCGUGAAUCAUCGAGUCUUUGAACGCACAUUGCGCCCCCUGGUAUUCCGGGGGGCAUGCCUGUCCGAGCGUCAUUACAACCCUCAAGCCCGGCUUGUGUAAUGGGCGGCCGUCUCUCCCCCCGGGGGGAGACGCCCCCGAAACUCAGUGGGGAUGUCGCGAUACCGAAGCCUCAGCUAAUGGGUAAACCACAGCUGCAAUGGCCGCGGCCGGCGUCCGCCUU
rnacentral:misc_RNA from 1 species